GAACGCUGGCGGCGUGCUUACCACAUGCAAGUCGAACGGUGAAGCGCCUUCCUUUUUGGUGGGUGUGGAUGAGUGGCGAACGGGUGAGUAACACGUGAGUAACCUGCCCCCUUCUUCUGGAUAACCGCAUGAAAGUGUGGCUAAUACGGGAUAUUCUGGGUCUGUCGCAUGAUGGGUCUGGGAAAGAUAUUGUUUCGGUGGGGGAUGGGCUCGCGGCCUAUCAGCUUGUUGGUGGGGUGAUGGCCUACCAAGGCGGUGACGGGUAGCCGGCCUGAGAGGGUGGACGGUCACACUGGGACUGAGACACGGCCCAGACUCCUACGGGAGGCAGCAGUGGGGAAUAUUGCACAAUGGGCGCAAGCCUGAUGCAGCGACGCCGCGUGAGGGAUGGAGGCCUUCGGGUUGUGAACCUCUUUCGCCAGUGAAGCAGGCCUGCCUCGUUUGUGGGUGGGUUGACGGUAGCUGGAUAAGAAGCGCCGGCUAACUACGUG
rnacentral:rRNA from 1 species